CCCGGCAAUGAAUUGCCGGGCUAUUAUCGGGUGUCCCUACGGGACA
rfam:Desulfobacteraceae bacterium IS3 Ga0073107_10477, whole genome shotgun sequence.